UGUGACAGACAUUGUAGCCUUCCAAGGCUUGUUUAAACAUCAUGGGAUAAACAAGUCCCAUAGCUCUGGUCCUACAUCAAAACCCUGCUGUCACUCUGCUUUUGUACAGCCUUUUAUAUAUCUGUGGUCACACUGCAGCCCCUGUUUGCACCAGGACCAUUCCACCAGGCCUCUUUGCCUUUAUGAAAAAGGGGCAGAUCUGGGCUAAGCCCAUAAAUGUGCAGUUGGAUAUAUGAAGUCUCUAAACAUUGGUGAUCAGUUCAGCUGUUUAACCUACUUAUCUGGUCUGCUUGUGCUGUCUUAAAGGCUAAUUGCAUGUGACCCUAAUAUCCUCAAAUAUAUACCUAUAUGCUAUACUAUAUUCUUGUUUCUAAAGGGACACAUGAACAAUCUUUCUGAAUGUCAAUCAACAUGUAGUUAGUCUCUUCACUGAAGAAAUUGUAACUAGGUUUUUAGUGGUGAUUAGCUAUGUGUUUAGUAAGAUUCUAAAUGAGAAAUUAAGAAAUUCCCAUUUGUAAUCAGGUGGAACACCCUUCAGACUGGAAUCCUCAAGCAGAUUGCAGUCAGGCUUUCUUAAUUAUUCAUUGUUAUUAUUAAUGCAGAUGCAACUUUUAAUUCCUGCUUGAAUGAGCAUUCUAUAAUAACGUGCUGAGACAAUGCAAGGCUUGACAAUGAGACUAUAGUUUAUUAAUCCAGAACUAUUUACUCAUGUGUACUUUUCAUCUGUUGAACUUCAUUGUCAUCUAUUUAAAAUCUCUAGUCCUUAAAGGCAGUGAUGGAUAAAAUUCACCUAUUCUGUAGAAGUCUGAUUGAUCUCCAUACUGAUUAUUCUCUAUCAUACUGAUAAUUCUUUUCUUUACUAUGAAAGCAUUAAAAUUGCUUGUAAGUACUUUUUAGUUAGAAUGUCAGCUGCUAAACUGAUGAAGUGGCAAAAGACAGCAAGGCUCAUCCUGCAGUGUUUUAAGUCCCUCUGUUUUUAGUGGUUUCAUGCACAUAUGUACUUUUAUGUUUAUUCUACUAAAAUGGGUUAAUUGUAUAAAAUUAGGAUGAAUAUUCACACAGUAUGGUUUCAGAGGCCUAGGGCAGUGGAGCAUCUUUUCUGUCCAGUACACUCUUCAUGACUGAUCAUGACUGCAGUCUUGCAGGUUUGUUGACUCACAAUAUGACUCUGCUUGCCUUAGAACUUGGCUUUACCUCAUUUUUUUCUGUAUUCAGGAAAGGGAAAUGAGGUCUGCACCCUGAGGUCUCCACCUUAACGUUACAUUAGCAGAAUACCUCCUGGGAAAUGUUCUCAAAUCCCACAGUUUGAAUGUAGCUUCACAGUCUCUACAAAGAAACAGAAUACAUUAACCUUCCUGUGGUGCUCAAAGUCAAUUUUGGAGGAGUCCAGUGUUUUCUGUUACCUCUUGUGGGGUGUUAAGUGCUAGAUAAAAUAUGUGUCCAUCAUUGAAACAACUAACAAAGACUUCAAAAUGCUUAGUUUUAUUUGAAUUAGCAUUAUUCUUAAGAAAAGUAAAAGGUGUCUUAUUUAAUUAUAAGUUAGCCUGUAUUUUACUUUCAAAAAUAAUAAUUAAAAAAAAUGGAUUUUGUUGUUAGUGUUUUUUUUUUUUUUUCUGAGCACUUGACAUGUUUCUAUAUUACUGAUGCAAAUAGAAAGAUAGGUGGAAAGAACAUCUCUGCUGCUACCAAAACCAGUACCUAAGUAGGACUGCAUCUUUUUCUUUCUAUUAGCAAUCUCAGUCUGUAGCAAAGUAUUUCAUCUAUAGGAUCAUUCCUAGGGACAGGGUAAAAAGAAUUGGUAUUCAUGAAGACUUCCAAAAUAUACACAUAUUAGUCUACACGAGUGUCCUGGUUUUGGAUGAGAUAGACUUUUCCUAGUAGCAUAUAGAAAUUUUUCCUAGUAGCAUAUAUGGCACUGUGUUUUGGUUUAGGGUGAAUAAUGUUGAAAACACACUGACUUUUCAGUUGUUCCUGAGCAGUAUUGCACAGAGCCAAGGAUUUUUCCGUUUCUUACACUGCUGUGCCAAGGAGGAGCUGGGGGUACACAAGGAGCUUGAAGGGAACAGAACCACUAUAGCUGACCUAAACAAGUCAAAGGGCUGUUCAAUGCCAUACUGCCUUCCCACUUGCGGAAGUCUGUUGGUGGCAGUGGGCUGCCACUGAUCAAGGACUGGCUAGGCAUUAGUCAGCAGCUGGUGAGCAACUGCAUUGUUUUGUAUGUUCUGGUGUGGCUAUUAUUUUCUUAUCAUUUUCUCUGCUAUUAAGCUGUCUUUAUCUCAACUCGCAAGUCUUACCUUUUCUCCAGUUCUCUUCUCUGAUCCCAUUGCAGGGGGAUUAGUGAGCAAAUGGCUGUGUGAUGCUUCGCUGCCUGCUGUAUUAAACCACAAUGCUGGGGUAACAACUAAAUAUAAAACCAUGAUUUACCUUUGCAUUCAUUAAUUAAUUCUUUUAUUUUUUUCCCUCCUAAAAUCUAGCUUGAUUAGUUCUCUGAUUAUUUAUGCUCAUAUUCAUUAGUAUUCUUUCUUGUGUAAUUUGAGAAUAAGGUAACCAAUCUCUAAGAAACAUCUAUACAUUCUAUUUGUACCCACAUUUUCUUUGCUUAAGACUGAUUUACCCCUGUGGUGUAGAUGUGCAGAACUCAAAACUUACUACUGAAAUUAUUUUAAUUUCUAUAAUACAAGUACAUCACAGAAACUGCUUAUUAUGUUUUGUUUUUUGUUUUCAAAGUAUGCAAAUAUUUGUUCCAAAGAAGAGAUUUCUGCCAAGAAGCCCAGCUGAAACAAUGUACCUGAAGGUGGUGUUAGCGUAAAUACGCAGAACAGCAGUCCAAAUUCCUUUACAUAGUCUUGCAGAAAGAAGUAAAAAACUUGAAAUUUGUGCAAAAUGAACACUACUCACUGUUUGUAGUCUAUAUAUAUCAAUGGGCUAAUUGUUUGAAUUUAUUUCAGUGAAAAUAUACAUACCUGAAAAUAAAAGUAUUUUAUAAUAUAUAUAUAUAUAAAAGUAUUUGAAAAUGCAAUUUUCAAAAUUGCAUACUAUGCAAUGCUAUGCUAUGCAUACUUGCAUAGCAGUGUAAUGAGACCAAAAAAUAUGAGACCCAUUUAAUAAAUGUAUAGUCAUGAAAAAGAAAGGUGAAUAGCAUAACGUGCUUUCCUGUGUUCUUUUCAGAAUAUGACAGUAAUAGAAUUGAGAGGACCCAAACCAUGGAAUUUAAGAAAAAGAAAUUCUGCAUUUCAGAACUAGCAUAUAUGAGCAAUGUCUCCCAUGUUUCCCAUCCUUUUUCAGAUGAGGUCUUUCCUCUCUGCCUGCAGUCCCCAUGUCCAGCAAGACUUUCUGGUAUACCAGGAAAGUAAAGUUCCCAGUUCCCAGACUGUGAGCCCAUGACAUGUGGUUGAAGUUGGAUGGAUUUAGUGAAUUAAUGCAGUAGAUCAUUUUGAUAUGUCAAUGACCAAAAACCAAAACAGCUGAAGAAACUCUUCCAUAGCUGCAUAUUGCUUUAUUCAGGCUGGUAUUGAUAUGAGAGGGAGCUAAAUCUACCACUGUAUUCUACAAAUACAUCAGGAGGCUAUAUACUGCUUGAUGUGUCUUGUUGUCCUCUGUACUCCUUGGAAGACCCCCAUGAGGUAUACAUGUGCAACCAUAAAGGUGACAGAGAAAACCCUACUCCUGUACAUUUCAUUUUAAAUAGCAGGUCACUUUAACUGACCCCCGUUAAACAAAUCCUUUGCCUAGUACUCUAAGUUUAAUGAACAUCAUGGGACUAAAUGAUUGAAGACUUUGGAGCAAGUCUAAGUUCAUUAAAAUUCCACAGUCUUCUUCUGCACAGUGAGCAUUUCCAUUACUCAGAUUUACAUGAUCAAGAAUGCUGUACUUUUUACUGUUCCAUAGGUUAAACUUCCCUCCAUUCAUAGUCAAUGAAUUGGAGUAAUGGGUACAUUCUGUGCAUCUCUCCAAGCUUUUCUUGUCCUGAAAUGUAAAUUCAUAAGAAGAUAAAGUUAUAUGCCAGAAUUAGAGAAGACAGUGGAGAAAAAUGAGAUGUCAGCUUCUCAUAUAUAUAAUUAAAUAGUAACCACCACUUGCUGCCAUUAAUUUUACAAGUGAUUUUUUUAGCAACUCUUUGACAUAAAGGGGAAAACUGUCUUAAUACUUUGUAAUAUGAGACCCGUCAAGCAGCUGGAAAAUUUUUAUUUACCUUAUUCUCUAUGACUGGGGUUAAUUCAUUAAUUCCUUCUAGCUGUCUUAAUCCUCUGGAGCUGCUCAUUUUACUUCAGGUCAAAAUAUGCCUGAUAAGAAAGCCAUUUUAAUGCGCAGCCUUAGAAUAAAUCUUACUGCACUGUUACCUUAGUAAUUAUUUUUUUUUUCCUUUUGUUCUUUAAUACAGCAUUUGAAGUAAUGCGAUCUGAAUCUUUGGGAAAUAAAGAUAAUUUCAGAUUCCAUAAACUUUGUAAAACCUAUAAUUACAUUAACAUUUGUUCAAACUUCUGAAACUAGAGCACCUCUCUUUUUGCAGGAAGUAUUAAUUAUGGGCUGGUGCUUUUCCCAGAGCCAAAUGGUGUGAUUUUACCACUGAUCCUAAGGAGAAACUGUCUAUGAAUUUUCAAUCUCAUGGAAAAUAUAAUCUCAUGUACAAAUACAUGUUUUAGAUUGUUGGUUUUUUUUUUGGGACUGGUCCUAAAUGGUCCCAGAAAUGGUCUCAGAGAGCAUACAUUGAUAACAAUAUUACAGAAAUAUCUCUGUGAUCCAUAUGAGUUCCCUGACUGAUCCUGAUUCUGAAUAACCAAACAGAAUAACUGGAAGAGAAUAAAUACAAAACAAUUUGUAAAAUUUCAAAUUAUAUCCCUUAUGCGUAGAAUCGUAGAAUCAUAGAAUCACUAAGGUUGGAAAAGACCCACAGGAUCAUCCAGUCCAACCAUCCGCCCUUCAUCAAUGGUACAUAUCCUUGUAGAAGGACACAUUUUGUUUUAUUUUAUGUCAUGGACUUGUGUCUAUGACAGCAGACAAGGUGUUAUUUGACUUUUUUUUCUAAACACAACUUCUAUAAAUCUUAAGAAUACCAUCCAUUUUUGUAGGGAAAUCAUUAAAAAGUCAUUACAAAAUGACAUGUCUAAGUAAUAUAGGACACUGUGGCUGAGUCAAAUCUGAAAUAUUUUCACUCUCAAGUCCACUCUCUUACUCCUUUGCAAUUGUCUAUUACUAGUUUUUCUAUACAGAAUAUUAUGUGGCUCUGGCAGCCUGGUCUGGUGGAUGGCGACCCUGCACAUAGCAGGAGGUUUGAAACUAGAUAAUCAUUGUGGUCCUUUUCAACCCAGGCCAUUCUAUGAUUCUAUAAUUCUAUGCCACAGCUAUCUUUUCUACACAUCUGUUAUGCUGCAUGUCCCAGUCUCAGAGCUCAGUUUAUUAAUGGUGCACACUUACAGGUAGGAACAUCCAUUUGCUGUGUCUGACUCUGCUCAUAUUUUAUACAAAUUAAAAGCAAUGCAGAAGGCUUGGUGGAGCAUAUGGUUAAUUAUUUUUUCCAGGCACUCGUUAUAUUUUCUCAUAGAGUCACUCUUCACCUACAGAGGGAGCAUAAGGACUCUUAUCAUUGUAUUUUGUCAUACGCAGCAGUCGUCAGUUCUACAUUUUAUUUCUUAUCUAAUACAUUUAUUUCAAUUGUGGAUUCUUUACCAUUCUGGAUGAAUUUCCUUUAGACUUCAUUGAAUCACAGAAGUUACACUUCUAUAGAUGGAAGAAACUUAGAAGUUGUGAGAUCUUUAGGUGUCCCCAGCACAAUAGCAUUGACUCUGUCUUUUUGCAACAGAUGGGAUUCAUUAGACUGAUUAGAUGCAUAGUACAACCUCCCCAGAUAGCACAGACAUGGCUAAAAUAAGAAACACAGGAUUAAGAAAGAGUGGCCAGAAAUUCUUUGGAGUGGAACUGCAUGAACUCCUCAUAAUGUGGUUUAAAAGCUAUUGUUACUGGCUUACUAGUUGAUGUUUCUUGUAUAAUUUCCAUUUUGAGUACUUUGUUCACAGAUUAAAAUAUUAAGAAUUAGUUCUACACACUGUUCCACACAUUGCUAAAGAGCUAUCAACGUCUUAAAUUUAGCAUGCAACCAUGGGAAGAUCACACAUUCCCUUGAAAAGAGAGGAAUCCUUUGUUCAGCCUUCCUAGAAAACCUUAUUAAUAUGGUGGAGAUAGUCUGUUUAAAGAAUUGAUGACAUCUCCUUUCUUUGGUCCAACCAAUUUUGUUAUUUUCACAGAGGAAGUCAAUCAACAAAAAGAGACUACAUUUCCUAUUUUAUUCAUAUAUAAGCUGGCUGGAAAUUUUUUAUCAAUGAUAGUUUUUUUCUGAUAGAAAAAGCAGCUGAAAAAAAAAAUAAUUUCAAAAACUAUUUUUUAUCAGCUUAAGCCAAAUUAGAAUAUUGUGAAAUCUUUUGUGUCUUUUGUCUUAAAGAGAAAAAGUAAUUGAUUUUCUCUAUCAUCCUAUUGCCUUUCAUGUAUUAUAUUUAGGUAUCAGCCAUGAUGAGUAGAAGAAAACAUAUAACACAAUUUGGUGUUGCUUUUCCUCUAAUGUGUUUGGAUGUGUAAGGAGAAUACAAUUGUUCACAUGGGAUCUGGCAUAUACAUGCAGGCAGUCACCAAGUUCUAAAGUUUUGGGGUAGGACUACAAAAAUAUAAUUUUGAAUAGAAUUUAACUGAGUAAUGAAACUAUAUGAAGUCACCUGAGUAAAGGCAAGCUCAAUUUUACUUCAGUUCCCAUCUGGAAACACCCAAACAUGCCACAUUGACUUUUUCCUUAUCUCAAUCUCCAUCCAUUCUGAAUCAGUUCAUUUUGCAUUUUUAUUUCUUUAAAAUAAUAAUAAUAAUAAAUCAGCUAUCAUUCUGAUUUCAUUCAGAAUCUUAAAUCAUUGAAUAAUUAUUCAAGAUGGAAAAUUCUCUUUUUGCACUUCUCUUUAAAAAUUAAGUAAGGAACCCUACAGACACUUCCUUAAUUUCCCUUUACAGUUAAGGAUACUUUCAAUAGCGUUUCCUUCCUUACAGUGAAUGAGACAGAAAUCCCCUGUGAUGGGAUGUUCCAUCAUAAUUAAAGGGGUAAGUGGACAUUUUAGAGCUGAGCAUAAUUCUGGUAAUUCUGAUGUUUGGGUUAGGCCAGAACUACUCCAGCUGAGGUGUUGUGUUUUUUUUUGUUUGUUUGUUUGUUUGUUUGUUUUGUUUUGUUUUUCUAUUUUCUCAUUCUCUAUUUUUCAAUUUUCUCCUUCUCUAUAAGAGUUAACAAGAUAGGGUGAACAAAAAUUCAUUAUGCUUCACUGAAGUUGCCUCUGAAGCCUAGAUGUUGUCAAGUUCUUCCAGUUUUUGCUGAACUCUGGCUAAACCUGGAAGUACUUGGUAGUUUCAUGAGGCAAUUUUGAAGUUAUAGAAAGACUACAAAUUAGUGAUGAGGGAAAUAUCUGUGCAUCAUCAUACUGAAGCUGUGUGACACUUCAUAAAUUAUUGUGAAACUGUUAAAAUGCAUCUCUCAUUUUCAAUAUAAGAAAUAUUCUUUAAACAAUGUCAUAGUCUUAAUAAUUGGACACAAAAGUGGAUUUCAGAUGUCUUAUGUGGAACAUUAUUCUUUAACUGAGACAUUGCAUCCUUUCUAGAGAUUAUUCCAGGGUGUUGUAGUCUACUCAAUAGCCUACCUCAAAAAUCCCUUCUUUGGCAGAUCAUGGGCUUUGAGGGUUUGCUAUUUUAGUCUUUGGAUAUGCAUGAGAACCAUGAGACUAUUUUUUUUUUUUUUUUUUGCCAGAGAACAUCCAGGAAAAACAAACAAAGUACACCACCCAACUCUGAAUCUCAGAAAAAGAUGUGUUGAUUUGGGAAUUAUUCAAUGCAUUGGCUCAAGUGUGAUACUUUCCAGUAUGUUUCCUAGAGCCUGAUUUGUUCUAACUUAACUUCACUCUGAUUCCUCUCUUGCUCAUUCAGUCUACUCAUUUCAUGCCUAAACACCUACCAACCUCAAUGCCUUCUGCCAACUCAUUAUCUGAUCUUAACUUCCAUUUACCUGGUGGCUGCCAAGCAUCACCCUUAAACAGCUUCCCGUCUCUCUAGUCUUAGUCUUCUCUGAAUUUCAGGUAUCCUGACCCAAAAAAUAUAGUUUGGCUUCUUUGCAUUGCCAACAUCCUUUAUUUCCCAACAGUCUAUGUGUAUAAAUCUGUCUUCUCUUCUUGUCUUCUGCUUUUUACAUUUACAUCAGGUUUGUACAUUUCUUGGGCCCAGAAGAAGUGUAUGAAAUAAUGGAAAAUAAAUGUUUCUUGGUCUCAACUAGUGCAGACUCAGAACUACUAACUCUCUAAGAUCAUCUGGGUAUAAGACUUUAGUGAUAAAAUAUGAAUUUAAACUUUGAUAUAAAAGAUUCAUCUGCUAUAGAGAUUUCAAGUCCCAAGCCUUUUUGGACAAUUGUUAUGCAGAUAGAAGUUUUAAUAAUUUCAUUCAGUGUAGUCAAAAUUAUUAUUAUUAUUUUUUCUCAGAGGUUGAAGAUCUGCUGACUUGCAAUUUUUGGAAAAACUUAGUUUUUGCAUGAGAUAAUGUUUCUUUCAGAUCUUUGCCAAAGUAAUGAACUACUGAUCAGGCUAUCUUCGAAUAGCUGUUGUCCUCAGUCACAGUCAGUGCUAUUAGCUAGAUACCUUCCUUUGUCCAUAAAAUACUUAAGCAGUUUCCUCCUUUUCUUUUUCUCCUAAGGCAGCUUUGAAACAUAAGUGAAAUCAACCCUGAAAAUGACUAUAGCUUCAGUUUAAUAGAAGGAAGUGCAAUUAUCAACAACAUCAUUGAAAUGAAGGAUUCUUGGUCGCUCUGUGUUUUGCCACUAACAAUUUUGGCAGUAUAUUAUGAAACAGAGAAGCUGUUUUUUAGUUUGCAAGCAUCUGUAAGUGAUUUUAAAAAGCAGAAGCUCCCCGAGGGCCAGGAGUGGAUCAGCCUGUCCCGAUGCAGCUCAUGGGCACCACACACAGAGUGAAUCUCAAUAUGCAGCCAUAGAGGAACCCAUGGUGCAGCAGUGGAUGCGGCCUGGAAGAGGUACAGCCCAUGGAGCAGGCUCUGAGGAGCAGGCCCCUGCUAGCCUCCUAAGCACCUGUAUGGAAUAGUGCUGCAAGUCUGAUUCUAUUUCUAGGUUUGAUGAGAGAAUACAGGAGCCUGUGGAGUCUGCAGAACUAUAGGCAUGAUACAGCAAAAUAUUCUACACUUCAAGAGCAAUGAAAUUCUACCUGAAAGUGCUAAAGCUCAAAGCUACCAGGAAAUUGUCCUGAAACUGAAAACCUCCAGGAAAUUGAGUGGAGAUACCACAUGCAACAUCCAAGGUAUUAUGUCUUGGUUAUGUUUUGUGGGAUUUAGUGUUGACAAUUUUUAUUAUACCCAGCCACAGAUACCUUCCUCUGAACAAAGAAUUCUGACUAGCCUUGAGGACAAGAAUAACAUCAGGCAUACCAGGAGGAGUUCUCCUACUAAGCAAGAGGUCAGUUGCUCUCUCCAGUAUCCCUACUGUUGCAAAGUACCUGGUAAAGAAAAUCAUUACAGUGGUCCUCCACGUGAUGCCUACAGAGGAUACAACUACAAAUAUCUUGGUGAUAUACUCUUUAGAAGUGCUACUGAAAGGGAGAUCUUCUUUUCGUCUUCCAUGAAGCUAUUUCAGGACAGAAUAUUUCAUAUAACAAAACUCCCAGGGCUCCAAGUCAGCACACUGACUGUUUGGGGUAGAAACGAGGUUUUGUAAAACACUUCAAAACUUACAUUCUAAAUUCUGAAAGUAGCCACUCAUGUAGUGAAGUUUUGCUCUACUGUACAAUCUUUCAGUUGAGCACUGCCAAAUUUGUGUAGAGACGCAAGGACAUAUCAGAAGUAUAGCUCAAAUACUUGCCUGUUCUCUUAUUGAGGAUCAGUGCAGGAUCAGUAUUUCUUCAAAAAAGCUACAGGUCAGACAUGGUCAGUUCCUCACGGCUGUCCGACUUUUACUACUUUAUGGGUCAUAAUACUUUCCAGAUGGAUUGUAUUUCACCACUUCUUUACAGUUGGUCGUAAAAUCUUUGGCUUUGUACUGCAUGCCUCUGCUUUUGCAAUCUGCUACUUUUUUUGCCCUCUUUACUGUACCUAUGGGCACAAAACUCCUUUCACAGAACAAACCAGAUCUUCCUUCUCUGAAUGCAAUAUAAAGAUUUGGAUACAUGCAGAGAUAACCUAAGCCAGCCAUGAUGAAAAUGCCCUUUUUUCUGCAUUUGGUAGAAAAGGCAAGGAGAAGAGUUUUACUGGUGUCUGCUAGUUCUCAGGAGCACCCUUCUGAGAAGACAUUUUUCACAUUGAGAGAAGUCUGGUCUUCAGAGCAAAUGAAAGGGAAAAGGAAAAUUUUAUGUUACAGGGAUUUGCACCCACCCACUGGGUGGAGAAGAAGCCCACAGAGAGAGGUCUUCUAGUUGGAGGAACAUGGUGUUACUGUCAACUCGUGACAUCAAACUGAACAUUUUUGUCUUUGUUUAAAAUGUUGUUAAUGUAUUUAGUUAAAAAGGAAGCUGCUCUGGGUUGUUUGGAAACUGAAGGAAAAUAAAAAGUCUUCUGUGCUUUUCACAUUCUUCUUUAAAAUUUAUUAGUUUGGUUUAUAAUCACAUGAAAAAUGUGUGGCAAAUGAGAGAGUUUAAAAUAAAGAAGAAGGAACUC